rnacentral:misc_RNA from 1 species
UUUCCGUAGGUGAACCUGCGGAAGGAUCAUUAUUGUAUAACCGAGGUACGAGGGCUGUCGCUGACCCGAAAGGUCGUGCACGCCCGAGUGCCCUCACACACAUCCAUUUCACCCCUAUGUGCACCACCGCGUGGGUCCCCCUUUGGCUUGUUCGGAGGGGGGCUUACGUUUUCACACAAACUUUGUAUGCAGUGUAGAAUGUAUUUUUUGUUUUUGCGAUCACGCAAUCAAUACAACUUUCAACAACGGAUCUCUUGGCUCUC